rnacentral:rRNA from 1 species
AUGAACGCUAGCGACAGGCCUAACACAUGCAAGUCGAGGGGCAGCACAAGGAGCAAUCUGAGGUGGCGACCGGCGCACGGGUGAGUAACACGUAUGCAACCUGCCUGUAAGCGGGGAAUAACCCGUUGAAAGACGGACUAAUACCGCAUAAUACUAAAUUACUGCAUGGUAAUUUAUUUAAACAUUUAUGGCUUACAGAUGGGCAUGCGCAUGAUUAGCUAGUUGGAGAGGUAACGGCUCCCCAAGGCAACGAUCAUUAGGGGUUCUGAGAGGAAGGUCCCCCACACUGGUACUGAGACACGGACCAGACUCCUACGGGAGGCAGCAGUGAGGAAUAUUGGUCAAUGGACGAGAGUCUGAACCAGCCAAAUCGCGUGCAGGAAGAAUGUCCUAAUGGAUUGUAAACUGCUUUUGCAGGGGAAUAAAGUGCAUCACGUGUGAUGUUUUGUAUGUACUCUGCGAAUAAGGAUCGGCUAACUCCGUGCCAGCCGCUGC